UGGGCGCGACUUCCGGAAGAAGGGAGCGCCAGAUUGACUGUAGGGAAGGGAGAUGCAGCACGUGAUACCUGACGCAGGCAGGCCGACCGCCGGGGCGGGGCGGGAAGCGCUGGUGGUGCCGGCAAUGGGCGCCCCCUCCCGUCUCACAGAGGCCGCCGAGUCCCGUCAAGUCUGGCUUUCUCCAGUUGUGGCAAGCGGGGGCCACCCUUCAUCACGGUGCGCGGGCCUCUCACUACCGCGGCCUCUCCCGUUGCGGAGCACAGGCUCCAGACGCGCAGGCUCAGUAAUUGUGGCUCACGGGCCCAGCCGCUCCGCGGCAUGUGGGAUCUUCCCAGACCAGGGCUCGAACCCGUGUCCCCUGCAUUAGCAGGCAGACUCCCAACCACUGCGCCACCAGGGAAGCCCAGGACUACCAUGAAGAUGCAUUGGAAAUUCUGCUACACUGGAGGAGUGAAGUAUCCCAUUCAGUUGGUGAUUUUCCUGUCAUGGAAGUUGCUUGCCAGCUCUAAUUUUGAAUGAACACAGUAAACACAAUGGUGAAAAUAUCAAUUAAAAAAACCUACUCUCCAUUACUAUGUAUGUCUGUUUCCCUGUGUGUUCUGAACUCGCUCGUAGCUACCAACACAUAGUUGUCUGUAGCUUCGGUUUUGCCAAACUAUUAAAAUCAUCUAUUUUUUCUACUGUUCUCCUUUGACUUUGCCUUCAGCUCUUGCUCCUCAAGAUUGAGAUAUGAAAGGAUACUUCUGUCUUUUACCGCACAAUUCCUUUGUCAGGAAUUUCAUGAUUUCCUCCAAGUUUGCAGUUAUGUGUUUGACUUUAUUCCCUAAUUUUAACACUGACUGGUUUUCAUUUUAUAUUUUCCUACUUUUGUAAUUUGGGUUGGUUCUUUUUUUUUUUUUUUUUAAAGAUUGAUUGAUUGAUUGGUUGAUUGAUUGCUAUGUUGGGUCUUCGUUUCUGUGCUAGGGCUUUCUCUAGCUGCGGCAAGUGGGGGCCACUCUUCAUCGUGGUGCGCGGGCCUCUCACUAUCGCGGCCUCUCUUGUUGCGGAGCACAGGCUCCAGACGCGCAGGCUCAGCAGUUGUGGUUCACGGGCCCAGUUGCUCCACGGCAUGUGGGAUCCUCCCAGACCAGGGCUCGAACCCGUGUCCCCUGCAUUAGCAGGCAGAUUCUCAACCACUGCGCCACCAGGGAAGCCCCCUGGGUUGGUUCUUUUAAAAUCUUUAUUUACUUAUUAUUUUUUUUUUGAAGUAUAGUUGAAUACAAUAUCAUCUUAGUUUUUAGUGUAAACAUAGUGAUUUGACAUUUAUAUACAUUAUGAAUUGAUCACCACUAUAAGUUUAUUAACCACAUGUCACCAUACAAAUGUAUUACAAUAUUAUUGACUGUAUUUGCUGUGCUGAACAUUACAUCUUGAUUACGCAUUUAUUUUAUAACUGGAGGUCUGUACCUCUUAAUCCCCUUCACCUAUUUUACCUAACCCCCGCCUACUUCCCCUCUGGUGUCCUCCAGUUUGUUUUCUGUAUCUAUGACUCUGUUUCUGUGUUGUUUUGUUCAUUUGGUUUGUUUUUAGAUUCCAUAUAUAAGUGAAAUCAUGUGGUAUUUGUGUUUCUCUGGCUUAUUUCACUUAGCAUAAUACACUCUAGGUCCAUCCAUGUUAUGGGGGCUUGUCUUCCCAGUUCUGGUCCCCCAGGCUGGGGAGCCUGGCAUGGGGCUCAGACCCCUUACUCCUCAGGGAGAAUGUCUGCGGAUGUGAUAUCCCUCCUAGUUGUGGGUCGCUGCACUGGGGUGUGGGUUCUCUGCCUCUGCUACCCAUCUUGAUGUGGCCUUUUCUUUAUAUCCUUAGCUGUAGAAAAUCUGUUCUGCUAGUCUUUAGAUAUUUUCAGAGAUAGUUGUUCUAUGUGUAGUUCUGUAUGUGUGUCCAUGGGAGGAGGUGAGCUCGGGGUCUUCCUAUUCUGUCUGCCGUCUUGAUCUAGAUCCAAUCUGAUAAAAAUUAUUUU